rnacentral:rRNA from 1 species
AGUGAACGCUGGCGGUAGGCCUAACACAUGCCAGUCGAACGGCAGCACAGUAAGAGCUUGCUCUUACGGGUGGCGAGUGGCGGACGGGUGAGGAAUACAUCGGAAUCUACUUUUUCGUGGGGGAUAACGUAGGGAAACUUACGCUAAUACCGCAUACGACCUACGGGUGAAAGCAGGGGAUCUUCGGACCUUGCGCGAUUGAAUGAGCCGAUGUCGGAUUAGCUAGUUGGCGGGGUAAAGGCCCACCAAGGCGACGAUCCGUAGCUGGUCUGAGAGGAUGAUCAGCCACACUGGAACUGAGACACGGUCCAGACUCCGACGGGAGGCAGCAGUGGGGAAUAUUGGACAAUGGGCGCAAGCCUGAUCCAGCCAUACCGCGUGGGUGAAGAAGGCCUUCGGGUUGUAAAGCCCUUUUGUUGGGAAAGAAAAGCAGCAGGUUAAUACCCCGCUAUUCUGACGGUACCCAAAGAAUAAGCACCGGCUAACUUCGUG